rnacentral:rRNA from 1 species
GACGAACGCUGGCGGCGUGCUUAACACAUGCAAGUCGAACGGAGCGAAUGAAAGCUUGCUUUUAUGAGCUUAGUGGCAAACGGGUGAGUAACACGUAGACAACCUGCCGAUCAGAUGGGGACAACAUUCCGAAAGGAAUGCUAAUACCGAAUGAGGUGUAGGGGAGGCAUCUCCCCUACAUGAAAGAUGGCCUCUAUAUAUAAGCUAUCACUGAUCGAUGGGUCUGCGUCUGAUUAGCUAGUAGGUAAGGUAACGGCUUACCUAGGCGACGAUCAGUAGCCGGUCUGAGAGGAUGAACGGCCACAUUGGGACUGAGACACGGCCCAGACUCCUACGGGAGGCAGCAGUGGGGAAUCUUCCGCAAUGGGCGCAAGCCUGACGGAGCAACGCCGCGUGAGUGAAGAAGGUCUUCGGAUCGUAAAGCUCUG